rnacentral:rRNA from 1 species
UUGAACGCUGGCGGCAUGCCUUACACAUGCAAGUCGAACGGCAGCACGGGGGCAACCCUGGUGGCGAGUGGCGAACGGGUGAGUAAUGCAUCGGAACGUGUCCUCUUGUGGGGGAUAACCAGUCGAAAGAUUGGCUAAUACCGCAUGAGAUCGAGAGAUGAAAGCGGGGGACCCGAGGGCAACUUCGGGCCUCGCGACGAGAGGAGCGGCCGAUGCCGGAUUAGCUAGUUGGUGGGGUAAAAGCCUACCAAGGCGACGAUCCGUAGCUGGUCUGAGAGGACGACCAGCCACACUGGGACUGAGACACGGGCCCAGGCUCCUACGGGA